ACGCCGCGUGAGUGAAGAAGGUUUUCGGAUCGUAAAGCUCUGUUGUAAGUCAAGAACGUGUGUGAGAGUGGAAAGUUCACACAGUGACGGUAGCUUACCAGAAAGGGACGGCUAACUACGUGCCAGCAGCCGCGGUAAUACGCAGGUCCCGAGCGUUGUCCGGAUUUAUUGGGCGUAAAGGGAGCGCAGGCGGUCAGGAAAGUCUGGAGUAAAAGGCUAUGGCUCAACCAUAGUGUGCUCUGGAAACUGUCUGACUUGAGUGCAGAAGGGGAGAGUGGAAUUCCAUGUGUAGCGGUGAAAUGCGUAGAUAUAUGGAGGAACACCAGUGGCGAAAGCGGCUCUCUGGUCUGUCACUGACGCUGAGGCUCGAAAGCGUGGGUAGCGAACAGGAUUAGAUACCCUGGUAGUCCACGCCGUAAACGAUGAGUGCUAGGUGUUAGGCCCUUUCCGGGGCUUAGUGCCGGAGCUAACGCAAUAAGCACUCCGCCUGGGGAGUACGACCGCAAGGUUGAAACUCAAAGGAAUUGACGGGGGCCCGCACAAGCGGUGGAGCAUGUGGUUUAAUUCGAAGCAACGCGAAGAACCU
rnacentral:rRNA from 1 species